rnacentral:rRNA from 1 species
AUUGAACGCUGGCGGCAUGCCUUACACAUGCAAGUCGAACGGCAGCGGGGGAGAAGCUUGCUUUUCCUGCCGGCGAGUGGCGAACGGGUGAGUAAUACAUCGGAACGUGCCCUGUAGUGGGGGAUAACUAGUCGAAAGAUUAGCUAAUACCGCAUACGACCUGAGGGUGAAAGUGGGGGACCGCAAGGCCUCAUGCUAUAGGAGCGGCCGAUGCCUGAUUAGCUAGUUGGUGGGGUAAAGGCCUACCAAGGCGACGAUCAGUAGCUGGUCUGAGAGGACGAUCAGCCACACUGGAACUGGGCCACGGCCCAGACUCCUACGGGAGGCAGCAGUGGGGAAUUUUGGACAAUGGGCGAAAGCCUGAUCCAGCAAUGCCGCGUGUGUGAAGAAGGCCUUCGGGUUGUAAAGCACUUUUGUCCGGAAAGAAAUGGCUCUGGUUAAUACCUGGGGUCGAUGACGGUACCGGAAGAAUAAGGACCGGCUAACUACGUGCCAGCCGCCGCGGUAA